rnacentral:rRNA from 1 species
UACGGAGGGGGCUAGCGUUGUUCGGAAUUACUGGGCGUAAAGCGCACGUAGGCGGUCUUUUAAGUCGGGGGUGAAAUCCUGGAGCUCAACUCCAGAACUGCCUUCGAUACUGGAAGACUUGAGUCCGGGAGAGGUGAGUGGAAUUCCUGGUGUAGCGGUGAAAUGCGCAGAUAUCAGGAGGAACACCGGUGGCGAAGGCGGAUCUCUGGGCCAUUACUGACGCUGAGGAGCGAAAGCGUGGGGAGCGAACAGG